CUCAGCUGAUUCCAAACGCAGGUACUUAGAUCCAAUAUAUCAUGGGGAAUACCCCAAAGUUAUGCGUGAAAGACUUGGAGAUCGGCUUCCCAUAUUUUCAGAGAAAGAUAAGGAGUUGCUUAAGAACUCAGUAGACUUUAUUGGUCUGAAUCACUAUGCAUCGAGAUUUAUUGCACAUGGAAGAGAUAACCAUGAUAAGGGUGAUUUUUAUAAAGCACAAGGGAUAGAGAAAAUUGUUGAAUGGGAAGGGGGUGAGGCUAUUGGUGAGAAGCAUCAGAAUGGCUGUAUGUUGUUCCUUGGGGCAUGCAUAAGGUUCUGAAUUACAAAGCGCAGAGAUACAAUAAUCCCCCAAUAUAUGUUACUGAGAAUGGUAUGGAUGACGAAGAUAAUGACACCUCCCCACUUCAUGAAAUGCUGGAUGACAAACUGAGAGUUAGUUACUUUAAGAGAUACCUUUCAGCAGUUGCCAAAGCGAUAAGGUAGGUCGACUUCAUUUCAUCCAUUUAUCAAAUGAACAAGCUUUCAAGUCAUUCUUUAGUAAGUCCUGCACGAAAGACUUCACAAAUUCCAUAUAGAUUAUCAUGUCAUUCAUCGCCUGCAUGGAGUCGUGCUACCAUUGCAAGGUUGAUGAGUACUUAGUUGCAGCAACCGUUGUCUUGGAUGUGGAAGGCUGAGGCUUGUGCUGCUCAUCUACUUUGCAUGAAAAUAUGCAUGUGUACACGGCUUGUGAUAUUAAGGUCGUAUAGAUGGGUUAUUAGGAGACACGUGGGUGGCUGAUGCUAUUAGAGUUUGGUUUCUGUGUUAGUUUCAAUGGAAGUUUAAAAGCUCAGUGAAAAUACACCAAAGAAGAAGGAGAGAAAUGUUUCUUAGUACUGUGUCGAUUCCAUCUCAACUCUUUUUUCAUAAAAACUUUUUACAACUUAUAUGACAGUUAGAGGAAUGAGAACAAUUUCACUCACUCUAUUACAAAGCAAUCACAACCAUUCAUUCCUAAGUCAUCAUGUAAGAUACUUACACUUGUCAUGAGCUAUGACUCAUUACACUCUAAACUAAAUACCAAUUGGAAUAUGAUCCAACGGUUCACAUUAAAUCCUACACAUUGCUUAUAAUGUAACUAUCACAGCAAAUACAUUUAUACUCCAAUACUCCCUUCUAAAUGUUUUGCUAAUUUCACACCAAGAGCAGUUCUCAAGUAUUCGAAUCGAUCCUUAGGAAGAGCCUUGGUAAAGAUGUCUGCCAAUUGCUCUUCUGUGCUGCAAUAGUGUAGUUCAAUUGUCCCAUCUUGAAUGGCAUCUCUUAUGAAAUGAUACCUCCGAUUAAUAUGCCUGGUUUUAUGAUGAAACACUGGAUUCUUAGACAUGGCUAUGGCAGAAGUAUUGUCACAUAGCAAAGGUGUAGCCUCCACCUGUUCUUCUUCAAAAUCAGAUAAAACAAACCUCAACCACAUUGCUUGUGUUGUAGCUUCUGCAGCACUUACAUACUCGGCUUCUGCAAUAGAUAAAGCCACACUGCAUUGUUUAACAGAAGCCCAAGAAAACACUCAUGAACCUAAACUAAAUGCAUAG